GACGAACGCUGGCGGCGUGCUUAACACAUGCAAGUCGAACGGAAAGGCCUUGCUUUUGUGGGGUGCUCGAGUGGCGAACGGGGGAGUAACACGUGAGUAACCUGCCCUUUACUUUGGGAUAACUUCAUUAAACUCGGGCUCUUACCGGAUAUAAACUCCUUCUGCAUGGUGUGUGUUUGAAAGUUUCGGCGGUUGGGGAUGGACUCGAGGCUUAUCAGCUUGUUGGUGGGGUAGUGGCUUACCAAGGCUUUGACGGGUAGCCGGCCUGAGAGUGUGACCGGCCACAUUGGGACUGAGAUACGGCCCAGACUCAUACUGGAGGCAGCAGUGGGGAAUAUUGCACAAUGGGCGGAAGCAGGAUGCAGCAACGCCGCGUGCGGGAUGACGGCCUUCGGGUUGUAACCCGCUUUAGCCUGUGACGAAGCGUGAGUGACGGUAAUGGGUAAAGAAGCACCGGCUAACUACGUG
rnacentral:rRNA from 1 species